UAGCACUACACCUGAUUCUCAACUAUAAAUCAUUGUGGUUGGAGAAGAAACUCAUUCUCAACCUCUGAAUAUCUCUCCAAAACCACAACAGCAACCCUGCGAAGAACUUCCAGCAAGACAAUCAGAACAAGAAGCACCUCUUAAUGUCUGCCCUCUAGAACCCUAACACUAGGCCUGCGAAGAACCUUCCGCAAGGCAAACAGAUCAAGAACCUCCAUAAAAUGUGUAAGUUUUAAUUAAUCAUAAUACUUUUUGGUUAUUAGUUAAAACUUUUCUUUGUCGU